UACGUAGGGUCCGAGCGUUGUCCGGAAUUAUUGGGCGUAAAGGGCUCGUAGGCGGUUCGUCGCGUCGGCUGUGAAAUCCCGAGGCUCAACCUCGGGUCUGCAGUCGAUACGGGCGGACUGGAGUUCGGCAGGGGAGACUGGAAUUCCUGGUGUAGCGGUGGAAUGCGCAGAUAUCAGGAGGAACACCGGUGGCGAAGGCGGGUCUCUGGGCAGUUCCUGACACUGAGGCACGAAGGCCAGGGGAGCAAACGGG
rnacentral:rRNA from 1 species